AUGUCAUGGGCUAAUAUGACUAAGCACAAAAGAAAUGGGGGAAUAGAUUUUAGAGACAUGCACUUGUUCAAUCAAGCACAGCUAGCUCGCCAUGGGUGGAGGAUUCUUCAAAACCCCAAUAGCUUGUGUGCAAGAGUUUUAAAAUCCAAGUAUUACCCCCAUGGCAAUCUGUUGGACAUGGUGUUCUCUUUGGAUGCCUCACCCUCAUGGAGGGGGGUCGAGUUUGGUCUUGAGCUUUUUGAAGGAAGGUGUGAUCUGGCGAGUUGGGAAUGGGAAAAGCAUACAAAUUCAGAAAGACCAUUGGAUCCCACACAACGAGGGUUGGAAAAUAGCAAAAUUCAUCAGGCAUUCAAGGAUUAG
rnacentral:rRNA from 1 species